rnacentral:lncRNA from 1 species
AUCCAAACCACGUGACCUCUGGUUGGCACACAAACUAACGAAGAGGUUAUGUUUGUAUCUAUUUUUCAAUGAUUUUUCAUUGUUUAUCGUCGUAUUUUGUCUAUUUUGGAUGCAUUUGGAUUUCGUUUCCUGUUUUUGUGAACUUUAUAAACUUUACCACAAUGCAAACUGAUUAUUUAAGGAAAUUAUUAUUGGAAACUCCAGAUGUUGCGAGAAAGAUAUUUAUUGAAGCUGAAAAUAAUUGGGGAUUUAGAUCCAUACGCAAUUCAGUCAGAAUUGGAUUUUACAGUAAAGUGCAGACCAUCAAGUUACUAUUAUAGAUAUUUAUACAUAUCUGGUGGAAUCUCGCAGUUGCUACUCUAAGCAGCAGAUGAAAGCAUACAAAAGCCUUCAGGCACAUAAAUAUUUUACAGCUGGAUUUGUUUUGAAUGGAGUAAAAAUUGUUAAUGAUUUCCUGAUUUUCAUAUUAUUGUUGGAAAGGUGAAGCAUUUCCAAAAAUCUAAUGCUAAAUGACUAAAUGCUUGGGUGGGGUGAUAGCCAGUUCUGAUGACAUAGCAAAUGCAGAUUGUAUGUGUAUGGCCGGUAAUAGUGAAGUCUGCAGCAAUCCUAUUUUUAGCUGAGUAUGCCCAGG